CUCCCGAAUUCGAUGACGAAAUCAAGAAAUAAGGGGCAUGCUGUUGGGAAAAAAUAAUCCGGUAUAAGAAUCCCCCAGGCCUCGGGCAGGAUACUGGCCUCCAGGUUCCUACUAAGAGAAAGACCUGGUUCCUACCGUUGCUUCCAUCUCCGGGUAAAAUUGAAAUUUUCUACUUAAGGGAUCCUUCCAUAUUUCCAAAUAUGGAAGAGUUUAACCUACCUAACCGACAUCUCCACAACUAUAUAAGGGGAGCCCAUACCCAAGAGCAAAAGGAUCGACAUUCAUAGACUAAGAGAUUAGAGAUAGACGGCUAGAACUAGGGUUUAUACACCAAACGUUGUAGUUUCCUGCUCAUUCAAUCAAUAAAACAUCUCUUUGCUCUCUAUUCUUGCUCGUUUUCCAGCUCUUCUAUUGUUCUGUAGUAC
rnacentral:lncRNA from 1 species